rnacentral:lncRNA from 10 species
CUCACUCUGUCACCCAAGUUGGAAUGCAGCAGCAUGAUCACAGCUCAUUGCAGCCUUGACUUCCCAGUCUCAAGCAAUCCUCCCAUCUCAGCCUCUUGAGUAGCUGGGACCACAGGCACACACCACCAUUUAGCCAGGCGUGGUGGUGUGUGCCUGUGGUCCCAGCUACAGUGUCUCUCUAUAUUGUCCAGCCUUGUCUCGAACUCCUGGGCUCAAGUAAUCUUCUGUCUCAACAUCCCAAAGUAAUUUCCCAAAAAACUUCUUAUAUCAAAGACCCUUGGACACAAGGUGCCACACUGCUGACUUCUAUUAUUCUGGAAAAGGAAUAAGCAU